ensembl:lncRNA
UUCUCUGAGCAGCCUGUACCAGUGCUUCACAGCCCUCUGAGUGAAAAAUUUCUUCCUAAUAUCUAACCUAAAUUUCCUCUUCUUUAGUAAAGACUUUCCUCUUGGUCCUGUCAUUAUCAGACUGUGUAAAAAAAAAAAGUUGGUCUCCCUCCUGCUUGUGAACUCCCUUCAAGUACCGGAAGGCCACAAUGAAGUCUCCUUUUUUCCCUUUCUUAAAAAUGGGAGAGAUGUUUCUCCAGUUACCAUGGAUUUUGCCUGACAGAUACAACUUUUCAGAUGAGUAUAAGACUGCGAAUAACUCGAGGUAUAAAUAAGGAUAGGAAAAGAAGCUUCUUUAUAGUACACUGUUUUAAAACCAGAGUCUGUUUUUAUUCCUUUCUUUAUUAAAUGCCAUCCUGGAACUGUGGUGUUGGUCUGGAGUAGUUGUUUCUCAGGUGAAAAGAGGACCAGGACAUACUAAGGAGCAAACUUGCAUUCUCUUUGUUUGCUGCUAUUUUCUUAUGCUUACAAAGACUUAUAAUGUUCAAAGCUGAAAAGUAGCAAUGUAAAUUUCCUAAAUGCCUUCAGAAAACCAAGAACUCAACCAUUGCUGAUAGAAACAUAAGUUCCUGAAACUGGACAGCACUGUUUGGGUUUCCUUUGAAAAAAAAAAAAAAAAAAAAGAAGGAAAAAAAAAAAAGGCCAAAUGCCUGAAGUAUGUAAGAAGGAGCUGUACAGGAGUUAAAGGGAAGCUGCAUAGGAAGCAAAGCAGAGCCCAAAAUAAAAAGCGGGAACAGAAAACUAAAAAUAACAAACAGGAAAGUGUGACACAGCUGCAAGGGCUCUUGUCCAUUCUCCCUCAGCAUUGUACCUUUUUUUUCAGGAACAUACUAAUAUUGUGUUUGGAUUUCAAUGGCAUUCCAAUCUAUUAUUUGUUCUUCAAAAAUAGAUGUUUCUCUGGUGAGGAGGAAAGAUUUUUUCAAGUAAUGUUCAUAUGAUUUCAGUUGUCCUAAUUUAUCAAAUAAUGCUUUUGUGAGCUGGUGCUUGCAGAUGGCGGGAGGACUACACAAAUUGUGUUGAUUCAAGAAAAACUCAACUCAAACUCCUUAGGACAGCAAAGAUCAGACAGUACAUAAUUAACUGUUGCUCUUAUUUUCAGGUGAGUAUUUAUGUGAUGGUUUUAAAAGUAAGAAAGGAUCCAGCACACAAGUGGGAGUUGCGGCUGCUCAGGGAGAGGAUCAGGGAGGAUCAGGAGCACAGCGUACUAAGGAAAUCUCUGUCUUGUUCCUCAUCCAAACACAGGUUUGUUUGUUUACACAGAGCAUCUUGCCUGCCCCACAAGUGCACAAAGUGCUGCUUAAGAGAGAGGAAGCAAUGUUUCAGCUUUCAGAGUUCUUGCUUUAUUAAUGCUUAUGUAAUUGUUUUGCUUGUUCAUUCUGCAAAAACUAAACCAUGCAUCUAGAUUUUGCAUCAUCAUUGGUUGCCCAGAACAUAGAUACAAAAAUGGCUCUGUUUGAAUGGUGCUAGCACCUAUUCUGGGAGAGCAAGAAAGACAGAACAUGCCAUUUUGUCAGCCUGAGGGUAGUCCGGGACAGCCACAAACCCCAAAGGAAACCACAUUAAGACUUGUCCAAUGGGGAUCAUGGUGCCUGUCAAGUUAUCAGCUCCAACUUGUAAAAUUCCUAUUUUCAAUAGACACAACAAAAACAGGAAAUAUUUACCAACUCUGCAGGUGUCAGGAAAUACCUUCAAAACGCUGCUGUGAUUUGACAGUCCAGUUAAAUAUCAAGCUAAUACAAAGAUGACAAUAAAUAUAUUUUCAUUUAAAACAUAUUCUUCAGUGUGUUUAAUACAUAUGUCUCAGCAGAUCACAGAGGCAAAUUUGUACUGUUAAUUACACUCUGGUGAUUAGACAGUGAUAUAUCUACUCCUCACACUCAAGGAAAUGGCCACAAGUUGUAUCAGAGGAGGUUUAGAUUAGACAUAAGGAAAAACUUUUUCUCUCAGAGAGUGGUCAGGCACUGGAAUGGCCUGCCCAGGGAGGCGGUGGAGUCGCUGUCCCUGGCAGUGUUCAAGAGGUGUCUGGAUGAGGAGCUACGAGAUAUGGUUUAGUGGCUUGUGGUAGCAAUGGUAAUGGGAGGACGGUUGGACCAGAUGAUCUUGUAGGUCCUUUCCAACCUUGUGAUUCUAUGAUUCUAUGUGUCACAACACUUGUGUGAAUGUAUGCAUACAAGGACACAACAGGAGAGUACACUGAAGAUGUUUUGUGCAGUUAAUGUACUGAUACAACUGCUUGUCAUUAAAAGUUAGUCUACACU